rnacentral:rRNA from 1 species
CCGGUUAAAAUGCGCAUGUACCUGUCAUUAAAGGAGCAAUCCGCUAUGAGAUGGACCCGCGGCGCAUUAGCUAGUUGGUAAGGUAACGGCCUACCAAGGCGACGAUGCGUAGCCGACCUGAGAGGGUGAUCGGCCACAUUGGGACUGAGACACGGCCCAGACUCCUACGGGAGGCAGCAGUGGGGAAUAUUGCACAAUGGGGGAAACCCUGAUGCAGCAACGCCGCGUGAGUGAUGACGGUUUUCGGAUCGUAAAGCUCUGUCUUUGGGGACGAUAAUGACGGUACCCAAGGAGGAAGCCACGGCUAACUACGUGCCAGCAGCCGCGGUAAUACGUAGGUGGCGAGCGUUAUCCGGAUUUACUGGGCGUAAAGGGAGCGUAGGCGGAUGAUUAAGUGGGAUGUGAAAUACCCGGGCUCAACUUGGGUGCUGCAUUCCAAACUGGUUAUCUAGAGUGCAGGAGAGGAGAGUGGAAUUCCUAGUGUAGCGGUGAAAUGCGUAGAGUUAAAGGGAAGAAAA